CACAGUUCCUCAGUGUAGCAUGGCCUUUCCCUCUGGUUGAGCUAAGGGAAGAUUUGACAUGGAAUGAAAGUAAAGGCAAUUCAUUUUGGAAUUUUCUGUGGAACGGGGUUUCCUUUUUUCAGUUGCCUACAAACCCAGUCACUGUCUUCUCCACAUUUCUCCCUGGUCACAUUCUGAGAGGCUAAAAAAUUUGAUCAAGUUGCAUAGCUGGAUCUCAAGUGGUGAAAAAUGCUAGUGGAGACAAUUAGCAGAUUGAAAACAUUGUAACUAGAUUCCCAAGUACAAGAAUUGGAGCUGUGUUUGAAUCCAGGAAUUCCCAUGCCUUGCAUGUUCCAGAUGCCAAAUUGAGCUCUAACCUCCAAGUACAGUUAUCAGCAUGUUUCUUUCAAUGAAAGAGUAAGCUGUUUCCAGCCCUGAUCCUUGCUCCUGUCCUACUGUCUUAUAUAUGUGAUUAACUAGAAGGGGAAAUUCAUGGCUGAAAAUUAAACCAGCAGUGAAAAAAGGCUAUUUUUAACUUGUCCCUGUUCCUUGUCUAUCACACAGCUCCACAAAAAAUUGUAGUGGUGCAAGUGAAGCAAUGACACUGGAGCCGUAGCUGACGUGGCUGUUCAAAGAAAUAUAUACUAAAUACACCCAUUUAACUGCCAUGACAUCCUCUGUGGGAAAAGGAAAAUCAGAAUUAACUUCAACAAAAUACCACAGUACCAACAUGCUCAUAAUGCAAAGUCUUUCCUCUUCCAAUACAAAAUGAUAAUUUUAUGAUUCCAUAUGGAUUAGAAACUUUCAAUGCGCUUUUCAUGAAAAUGGUGGAGGGAGAAAAGUCUGGAGAGAAACAUCCACAAUGAUUUGCAACACCC